rnacentral:ncRNA from 1 species
ACCAUCCUUUUCUUGGGGUAGCGCUUACUGUCCAAUGAAUGAGUAGUAAGGGCAGUACUGCUAAUGCCUACAUAACACAUCCGGAUCAACUAGAGCUUUGCUUUAUUUUGGUGCAAUUUUUGGAAAA